rnacentral:rRNA from 1 species
GCUUAACGCGAAGAACCUUACCAGGACUUGACAUGGAGGGGACCGGACGAGAGAUCGUUCUUCUUCCGCAAGGAAGCCCUCACACAGGUGCUGCAUGGCUGUCGUCAGCUCGUGUCGUGAGAUGUUGGGUUAAGUCCCGCAACGAGCGCAACCCUCGUUUUAGUUGCCAUCAUUCAGUUGGGCACUCUAAAGAGACUGCCGCGAAUAACGCGGAGGAAGGUGGGGACGACGUCAAGUCAUCAUGGCCCUUACGUCCUGGGCUACACACGUGCUACAAUGGGCGUCACAGAGGGUCGCAAGAGCGCAAGCUGGAGCCAAUCCCCAAAAACGUCCUCAGUUCAGAUCGAGGUCUGCAACCCGACCUCGUGAAGGUGGAAUCGCUAGUAAUCGCGGAUCAGAACGCCGCGGUGAAUACGUUCCCGGGUCUUGUACACACCG